UACGGAGGGCGCAAGCGUUGCUCGGAAUCACUGGGCGUAAAGCGUACGCAGGCGGACCGUUAAGUCGGGUGUGAAAGCCCAGGGCUCAACCCUGGAAUUGCAUUCGAAACUGGCGGCCUUGAGUACGGGAGAGGGAAGCGGAAUUCCUGGUGUAGAGGUGAAAUUCGUAGAUAUCAGGAGGAACAUCAGUGGCGAAAGCGGCUUCCUGGCCCGAUACUGACGCUCAUGUACGAAAGCGUGGGGAGCAAACAGG
rnacentral:rRNA from 1 species